AGUUUUUAUAGCUUAAUGGUUAAAGCUUCUCACUGUUAAUGAGAUGAUAUAGGUUCAAUUCCUAUUAAAAACUA
rnacentral:tRNA from 1 species